GACGAACGCUGGCGGCGUGCUUAACACAUGCAAGUCGAACGGAAAGGCCCUGCUUUUGUGGGGUGCUCGAGUGGCGAACGGGUGAGUAACACGUGAGUAACCUGCCCUUGACUUUGGGAUAACUUCAGGAAACUGGGGCUAAUACCGGAUAGGAGCUCCUGCUGCAUGGUGGGGGUUGGAAAGUUUCGGCGGUUGGGGAUGGACUCGCGGCUUAUCAGCUUGUUGGUGGGGUAGUGGCUUACCAAGGCUUUGACGGGUAGCCGGCCUGAGAGGGUGACCGGCCACAUUGGGACUGAGAUGCGGCCCAGACUCCUACGGGAGGCAGCAGUGGGGAAUAUUGCACAAUGGGCGGAAGCCUGAUGCAGCAACGCCGCGUGCGGGAUGACGGCCUUCGGGUUGUAAACCGCUUGCGCCUGUGACGAAGCGUGAGUGACGGUAAUGGGUAAAGAAGCCCCGGCUAACUACGUG
rnacentral:rRNA from 1 species